GAUGAACGCUAGCGACAGGCCUAACACAUGCAAGUCGAGGGGCAUCGGGACGUAGCAAUACGUUGCCGGCGACCGGCGGAUGGGUGAGUAACGCGUAUGCAACCUACCCGUAGCAGGGGGAUAGCCCGUUGAAAGACGGAUUAAUACCCCGUAACACAGGGGCUCCGCAUGGAGAUUAUUGUUAAAAGGGUCAUUUCCUUUAGAGGUGGUCCGGCUGCGGAUGGGCAUGCGUUCCAUUAGGUAGUUGGUGUAGGUAACGGCUCACCAAGCCGACGAUGGAUAGGGGAACUGAGAGGUUGGUCCCCCACACUGGUACUGAGACACGGACCAGACUCCUACGGGAGGCAGCAGUGAGGAAUCUUGGUCAAUGGACGCAAGUCUGAACCAGCCAUGUCGCGUGAAGGAGGACGGCCCUAAGGGUUGUAAACUUCUUUUGCAGCGGAAUAAAGUUGCCAGAGUUGGCGAUUUGCAAGUACGCUGCGAAUAAGGAUCGGCUAACUCCGUGCC
rnacentral:rRNA from 1 species